GAUGAACGCUGGCGGCGUGCCUAACACAUGCAAGUCGAGCGAUUCUCUUCGGGGAAGAGCGGCGGACGGGUGAGUAACGCGUGGGUAACCUGCCCUGUACACACGGAUAACAUACCGAAAGGUAUGCUAAUACGGGAUAACAUAAGAAAUUCGCAUGUUUUUCUUAUCAAAGCUCCGGCGGUACAGGAUGGACCCGCGUCUGAUUAGCUAGUUGGUGAGGUAACGGCUCACCAAGGCGACGAUCAGUAGCCGACCUGAGAGGGUGAUCGGCCACAUUGGAACUGAGACACGGUCCAAACUCCUACGGGAGGCAGCAGUGGGGAAUAUUGCACAAUGGGCGAAAGCCUGAUGCAGCAACGCCGCGUGAGCGAUGAAGGCCUUCGGGUCGUAAAGCUCUGUCCUCAAGGAAGAUAAUGACGGUACUUGAGGAGGAAGCCCCGGCUAACUACGUGCCAGCAGCCGCCGCGG
rnacentral:rRNA from 1 species